rnacentral:lncRNA from 10 species
GGAAAACACCAAGUCCCUGGACAAGGGGAAGACACCAAAUCCCUGGACUCAGGCCUCACAUGAUUGAGUGAGAGGAACUCUGCUGUCAGACCCUACAAUGCACUCUUCAGUGGAAGAGGAUCACACAUUCCAAACAUACUCCAUCAGGUCAUAUGUUAAAUGACAGGGCUGAGACCUCUCCACAGCACAUCUGAUACUGGGAUCGAUGAAGAUCAGAUGUGCAAAUCACACUGGGCUCCGGAAAGCCCUAGACUGUGUCAUUCAAGAUGUGUGACAUGGAUAAAAAGCUCCCCAUAGUGGAAAGAGGUGCCAUAAAACACUAGACAAUGAGAGCAAGAUGGGGGACCCAAAAUGGUGCCCUGGCAUCGGCAAGUGGUGAAACCAGCCAUCUGGCCCUGUGCCCUGUCCUCAGAAGUGCCCCUGCCGCCCCAGCAGGUACAUUUGCAGGUGAAGAAUUUCUUUCGCUUUAGUGUCCUGGGAACCAAGUAUUUUCUGUUGGUGGUGUUUCUCUUGCACCAGAUGAAUUUUUGCCUCGCUUACCUGAGACUUAGACUGUCCCAAUUCCAGUCUCCACUGAUGCAAACUAGGUUGGUUCACAACAGGCUGCCAUAAAAUUUCUCAUUUUUUUCUGUUUGAAAUGUGUAACUUUUGAUUUACUUCCUAAGUAAGACUUCCUGAGUUGGGAGCUCUAAAAACUUUCAUUAAAAAACAGUGGAUUUGUCAAACUUUUGAGCAAAGUAUUGGUGGCACUUCUAAAUCUUUGAAUUUAAUUUCUUCUUUUAGGGGACUCUUAGAAAGGGAAAAUAUGAUCUUACUACAUUGACCAUGCAAAUUCUGAGGUUCAUAUUGAAUCUAAAGUCAUUGGAAAUAUAAAUCUCAAUAAAAUCCCUAAUACUAAAUACUCAUAUAUAUGUAUAUAUUGCCCAUAGACAUGUAGUAUGUAUUCAUGUAUCAUAUAUGUAUAGGUAUAUAUAUGUUCAUAUGUCAUAUAUUAAAUAUGUAUGAAUUUAUAAGAUAAAGGUGGAAAUUAUUGACAUGUUAUAACUAAAUAAAGAAAAUCUUUAACAACC